UUAAAUUAUCAAGAAUCUCAAAUAGAGAUAGCAACCUGCAAUAACGAGCAAGGUGCUAAAAGCGAUAAGCCAAUACCUUGGAAAAAACGUUAAAUCC
rnacentral:ncRNA from 2 species